UCUCCUUCGCCAUGGGUUAUACGGCCGUGAACACCCUUGCUGCUCUUCGAAUUCCUCCUCUUCUUCUUCAUCGGGCCUAAUCAUGCUCAUUCCUUCCCUGACAUUAACAAUCAAUCCACGUUCACUUUGCUCUUCUUGCAUCUUACUCACGAUCUCUGUGGGGAUGUUGAAGGCCUCAGCCAUCAAUUCUCUGUCAAAAGAACGAAAAAUGUUCUGAAACUUCUGCGUGAUUUGCUUUCUUAGACCAAUUUGAGUUCUUUUCUUCUCACUUUCUUGUACUCCACCAGCCAAGUAAAAUGCCUAUCGUCCACACAAAUAGUACAAUCCAUGAAUAAGUACAUCGAAUUAAGAAAAGAUUAGAAAUUCAUUAUAUGCACGGGAACUGCAAGAAAUUAAAAUACUCUUACAUUGAUUGGUGUAGUUUAACUAGCGAAAUUCAUCAGUUACCAUUUUUAUCAAGACUAAUGUUGAUAGAGAGAUUUACCUGUAAUUACUUUUUAAGUAAACUGAAAAUCCAUCAGAUCACAUAAAGAAGUGGGAAUUAAUACUAAUUACUACUCCCUCCGUAUUCAAUUUCUAUGUCCUACUCGAAUGACUCUCUCCGUUUUGUAGAACUCUUUUAUUCAACUUUCACAAGACCUGUGUAAGACAUAAAAUUAAAGGACACUUGGAUCCAAUUACCUACCUUUAAGGUAGAAUAUUUAGUUUUAGACUAAAAGAUUCAAGUGUUUUUUUUUUUAAAUUUUCUUACACUCAAGAAAAAAUCGACACAAAGUUUGAAAAAAAAAAUAGACUUGAAUAUCAUGUCAAAUUAAAAUCAAACAAACAAAUUCAAAGAAACUGAAAGAGAGAGAGUGAUAAAUUUUACCCUGAAGUUCUGAUCAAGUUGGUUGGACUGAUGGUUGAGAUCGUUGAUGGAGAUGGCUACGAGCUCUUCCUCACCGUCGUUAAAGCACCAAUGAGCAGCACCAGCUGGAAUUGCCACAACAUCACCUUGGCGAAUGCGGUGAACUUUCUGGUGCUGAUCGCUUCUGCGGCCUUGUCCACUCUCUUCCCAUGAAUCUCGGCCAGCCUGGAAGGUCUGCGAUUGGGUCUGGAAAGUCUCAGCACAGCCGGGGAAAAUAAUGCUUAUCAAUCCCCGGCCACGCUCGAUGUAAACCAAGCGAGGCAUCGGAUGAAAAUUAGGCAAAGAGAGAGAACGACGACGAAGAACAUUCCUCAUAGGAGCAACUCCAGCGCACAGGAAUUGCUCCUCGUUCUCAUCCCACAGCUCAGUGAAGCCGCCCUCUGACUCAAUGCGUUGAGACGGCUGGCUUCCAGUGAGCCUCUGUAUGCGGCAUUGUUGUGCUUGAGUCAGACGAGUGCCUGUCUCACCGUACUGACCUGGUUGUCCCUGAUAUUCUCUAGCAUUUGCU
rnacentral:lncRNA from 1 species